GACAAGAUGUGGGAUCGGGAGCCCCAAACAAUUAUUUGAUCCAGUAUUUAAACAGAUUAGCUAAAGUAUGGAUAUACCAGAAGUCUUAUGCUUAAGACUAAGUUAUAUUAGCGUUAUGGUCUACAAUACGUGAUUUUGCUAAUAAGGUACUUGGUCAAAUAUUUCAGCUUAAAUUUCCCUCUCUUCCCACUGGAUCUCAGAAAUAAGUUAAGAAC